GUCCUUUAGAAUAUAGAAUUUAAGGUCUGACCUGCCCACUGAAAUUUUUAAAUGGCCGCAGUAAUUUGACUGUGCAAAGGUAGCAUAAUCAUUAGUUUUUUAAUUAAAAGCUUGUAUGAAUGGUUGGACGAAAUAAAAUCUGUCUCUAUAUAAUAAUUAGAAUUUAAUUUUUAAGUUAAAAAGCUUAAAUUUUAGUAAAAGACGAGAAGACCCUAUAGAUCUUUAUAAUGGAUUUUAUAGUUUUAUUAAAGAUUUAUUUAUUUAUUAUAAUUUUUAUUAUUUUAUUGGGGUAAUAGGAAGAUUAAUCUAAUUCUUUUUAAGAUUUUACAAAAAUUAUUGGUUAUUUGAUCCUUGUUAUUGAUUAUAAGAUUAAGUUACCUUAGGGAUAACAGCGUAAUUUUUUUAGAGAGUUCAUAUCGAUAAGAAAGUUUGCGACCUCGAUGUUGGAUUAAAAAUUAUUUUGGGUGUAGAAGCUCAAAUUUUUGGUCUGUUCGACCAUUGGAUUUUUACAUGAUCUGAGUUCAGACCGGCGUAAGCCAGGUCGGUUUCUAUCUUUAUUUAAUUAAGAUAUUUUAGUACGAAAGGACCAAAUAUUAAAUAUAAUAAUAUUUAUUUUUUGAUUAA
rnacentral:rRNA from 1 species